GAUCCUGGCUCAGGAUGAACGCUGGCGGCGUGCUUAACACAUGCAAGUCGAGCGAAGCACUCUGCUUUGAUUCUUUUGGGAUGAAGAGCAUUGUGACUGAGCGGCGGACGGGUGAGUAACGCGUGGGUAACCUGCCUCAUACAGGGGGAUAACAGUUAGAAAUGGCUGCUAAUACCGCAUAAGACCACAGCACCGCAUGGUGCAGGGGUAAAAACUCCGGUGGU
rnacentral:rRNA from 1 species